AAAAAGGUAAACCUUGGGUUUCCGUGCCCAACUUUGACUGUUUGUCUUAUAUGAAAUUUUUCAUUGUUGCUAGAUGAUAAAACAUGAUUAAUAUUUCAUGCGUGACUUAUCUUUUUAAUUUUUUUUAUAUUUUUUUCAAAUAAGACGAACGGUCAAACGUUGGACACGGAAAUC
rnacentral:pre_miRNA from 1 species